rnacentral:rRNA from 1 species
UACGUAGGGGGCUAGCGUUGUCCGGAAUCAUUGGGCGUAAAGAGCGUGUAGGCGGUCCGGUAAGUCCGCUGUGAAAGUCGGGGGCUCAACCCUCGAAUGCCGGUGGAUACUGUCGGGCUAGAGUGCGGAAGAGGCGAGUGGAAUUCCUGGUGUAGCGGUGAAAUGCGUAGAGAUCAGGAAGAACACCGGUGGCGAAAGCGCUCUGCUAGGCCGCAACUGACACUGAGGGACGAAAGCGAGGGGAGCGAAUGGG